rnacentral:rRNA from 1 species
GAUGAACGCUGACAGAAUGCUUAACACAUGCAAGUCAACUUGAACUUCGGUUUGGGUGGCGGACGGGUGAGUAACGCGUAAAGAACUUGCCUCACAGCUAGGGACAACAUUUGGAAACGAAUGCUAAUACCUGAUAUUAUGAUUAUAUGGCAUCGUAUAAUUAUGAAAGCUAUAUGCGCUGUGAGAGAGCUUUGCGUCCCAUUAGCUAGUUGGAGAGGUAACAGCUCACCAAGGCGAUGAUGGGUAGCCGGCCUGAGAGGGUGAUCGGCCACAAGGGGACUGAGACACGGCCCUUACGCCUACGGGAGGCAGCAGUGGGGAAUAUUGGACAAUGGACCGAGAGUCUGAUCCAGCAAUUCUGUGUGCAAGAUGAAGUUUUUCGGAAUGUAAAGUGCUUUCAGUUGGGAAGAAAAAAAUGACGGUACCAACAGAAGAAGUGACGGCUAAAUACGUG